GAUGAAGAACGCAGCGAAAUGCGAUAAGUAAUGCGAAUUGCAGAAUUUCCGUGAGUCAUCGAAUCUUUGAACGCACAUUGCGCCCAUUGGCAUUCCGAUGGGCAUGCCUGUUCGAGCGUCAUUAUCCUCCCUCAAACCUCGGGUUUGGUGUUGGACCCAAGUUGUGCGAUGAACAACUGGUCUUAAAGACAAUGACGGCGUCCGUGGGACCCUCGAUGCAACGAGCUUUAAGGAGCACGCGUCGGGUUUUAAAAGGACCCUCCGGGCCGAUCUACCUCUCUUUCUCAGGUUGACCUCGGAUCAGGUAGGAAUACCCGCUGAACUUAAGCAUAUCAAUAAGCGGAGGA
rnacentral:misc_RNA from 1 species